UCAUGAUUAUCGAUCGCAAAUGAGUACAUCACAUCAUAUGCUAUAAUAUGUUUUCCUUAGUAACUAAAUGGGAAUUCUAGACAAUUAGAGCCUACAGUCUAAUUCUAAUAGAGUCGUCUAAUAGUUGAUUGUUCGUAUGAUUAGUUGAAGUAAAGAUAAUCGUGUCCAUGCUUUGUUUUAGUUUUUUUUUUUUGGUCGCAUGAUUAUGUUAAGUAGUUAGGGACUUAGGGAUGAGAUAAUCGAAGUCAACUAUGUGAAAAGGUCGGUCGACUAAAUAAACUAGAAAGAGUUAAUGCCAAUGUUUAGAAUUAAUGAUUCCACCACUUUCUUUAGAUUUGCAAAGCCGAUCCAACUUAAAUAAUUGGGUUAUUUUUUUUUUUGCUUAACAAUGGUACUUAGAUUAUAAUCAGUGUAUUUUAGUCAAUGCAAAAUAAAUUCGAGAGUGAGAAGAAUAACUCCAAUCCAAAACCACGUUGACCAGAAAUAACUCGAAAACUGUCUAUUUUAUGCCCAUAGAGAAUAUUAUGCGAAACUGGUUUAGUUCCUACAUUUGUCUUAAUUGUCUUUUUUUUUUUUUUGAGUCGUGACUUAUAUAAUUAUAUUACUAACUACUACCUCAGUUAUCGGAAAAAAAAAUUUGAGGUUACGUCAAGUUUGAUUAAUAUUACUAUAGUAUAUAAGUUAUAAAACAAUAUUUAUUAUCUUCUGUCAGUUUGUU
rnacentral:lncRNA from 1 species